AAUAGUUGAGGUGCGCAAAGGUUAAUUUCGUACCUCGUUGAUGGAGGAGGAAGAAGCCAUCAGAGCGUCUGAUUGGAGGCUCGGAAGAAUUUAGCAGAAGGGGAAUGUAUGAAUGUUACGCAAGUGCCUCUGGGAGGAUGCGAGGGGCUCGUAUUUAUAAGGCAACAAGCAACGGUUAGUAAAAGGAAGGCAUUCAAAACAAGUAACCGUUGAACCGAAAAAGCUGCGAAAACAGUCGUUUGGAUUCAUAUUCACAUGGAAACCGUGGAAGGCAUUAAUGUUUUACAAGACGUUCAAAGGGUAUUCGAGUUCAAUACAGUCAUCCAAGGAGGAAAUUCAUGGCCUUGAUCGCCC
rnacentral:lncRNA from 1 species